rnacentral:tRNA from 1 species
GUUUUCAUAGUUUAAAUUAAAACAUUACACUGAAAAUGUAAAAAUAAAUUUGAAAAUA